rnacentral:rRNA from 1 species
CACGGGGUUGCGAGCGUUGUCCGGAAUUACUAGGCGUGAAGGGCAGGCAGGCGGAUCCAUAAGUUUAUCGUUUAAGGCGUCGGCUUAACCGGCGUAGGGCGGUAGAUACUGUGGAUCUGGAAUGCGGUUGGGGAAGACAGAAUUCCUGGUGUAGCGGUGGAAUGCGCAGAGAUCAGGAGGAAUACCGAAGGCGAAGGCAGUCUUCCAAGCCGUUAUUGACGCUCAACUGCGAAGGUGUGGGUAUCAAACAGGAUUAGAUACCCUGGUAGUCCCU